rnacentral:rRNA from 1 species
CGAACGCUGGCGGCAUGCCUCACACAUGCAAGUCGAACGAGACCUUUGGGUCUAGUGGCGCACGGGUGCGUAACGCGUGGGAAUCUGCCCUUGGGUUCGGAAUAACAGUGAGAAAUUGCUGCUAAUACCGGAUGAUGUCUUCGGACCAAAGAUUUAUCGCCCAGGGAUGAGCCCGCGUAGGAUUAGCUAGUUGGUGGGGUAAUGGCCUACCAAGGCGACGAUCCUUAGCUGGUCUGAGAGGAUGAUCAGCCACACUGGGACUGAGACACGGCCCAGACUCCUACGGGAGGCAGCAGUGGGGAAUAUUGGACAAUGGGCGCAAGCCUGAUCCAGCAAUGCCGCGUGAGUGAUGAAGGCCUUAGGGUUGUAAAGCUCUUUUACCAGGGAUGAUAAUGACAGUACCUGGAGAAUAAGCUCCGGCUAACUCCGUG